CCCUGAACAGAAGAACUUUUGGAUCCCAAAAUAGGCUUUUGGUUAGAUUGUAAAAGAAUGAGCUUUUAUGUGAAGCUACUCCAGGUGUGCCUAUCAGAAAAAGUAAAAAAAAAAAAGAAGAAGAAGAAGAAACACUGCAUGCAUGUGCCAACCUGCAGUACAUAAGCACCUGUACACACAACCUUGAAUCCUUAAAGGACCUCCAGCCAACCCACAUGUAAAGUCUGAUGUCAUGUUACAGUAGGGAUCUAACUGCAUAAUAAACUGAGGACAUGCACUUAUUUAAGCCCCAGGAAAAAUGUCUGAGUUUGCUUGAGGAACCUUUCAUUCAUUAAAGACGGUUAAUAAUCAAACAGCUUUGCUGGUUACAUGUGACAUUUAAAAUGAUUUAAAGUUUAAAAGACUGAACAUCUAAUUUUCGUACUUUUGCAGACAUGGCAGUGCUGUGAUUUUUAUCUUUCUAGUCGAUGUCUGGAUCCUCAGCCUUGGGUGAG